rnacentral:tRNA from 1 species
CGGGACGUAGCGCAGCUUGGCAGCGCGCAGCGUUCGGGACGCUGAGGUCGCGGGUUCAAAUCCCGCCGUCCCGA